rnacentral:rRNA from 1 species
AGCAAGGAGUUGUGCUGGUAAUGAAUAUUGCAUGUGCACACUCUGGAGCUAUAUAAUAUAUACACCUGUGAACCAACUGUAGUCAGGAGAAAUCCUAACUAUGAUUACCCUAUAUAACUCUUAUUGUAUGUUACAUAGAACGAUCUCAUAUUGAAACUUUGUUUUCUGACAAGUUUCUCUUAAUUAAAAAAUAUACAACUUUCAACAACGGAUCUCUUGGGUCUUGCAUCGAUGAAAAACGCACCGAAAUGCGAUAAGUAAUGUGAAUUGUGCAAUCCAGUGAAUCAUCUAAUCUUUGAACGCACCUUGCGCCCUUUGGUAUUCCGAGGGGCAUGCCUGUUUGAGAGUCAUUAAAUUCUCAACCUUACAAAUUUUUGUAUUUGUCAAGGCUUGGAUGUGAGAGUUGCUGGUUAUAAUAUAUUCUGACUGGCUCUCUUUAAAACUAUUAGUAGGACAUGUAGAAAUGCCUACGGUUGGUGUGAUAAUAUGUCUACGCCUAUACCGGAGGGGAAUCCUAGCUGGUAUGUACUACUUAUAAAAUCAUGCGCAUAUAUCUAGCAUAUAGUUGCAUAUAUUGACCAUUUGACCUCAAAUCAGGUAGGACUACCCGCUGACUUAAGCAUAUCAUAAGCGGAAGAAAAA